rnacentral:rRNA from 1 species
UACGGGGGGGGCAAGCGUUGUUCGGAAUUACUGGGCGUAAAGGGCUCGUAGGCGGCCAACUAAGUCAGACGUGAAAUCCCUCGGCUUAACCGGGGAACUGCGUCUGAUACUGGAUGGCUUGAGUUCGGGAGAGGGAUGCGGAAUUCCAGGUGUAGCGGUGAAAUGCGUAGAUAUCUGGAGGAACACCGGUGGCGAAGGCAGGUCUCUGGGCAUUAACUGACGCUGAGGAGCGAAAGCAUGGGGAGCGAACAGG